AUGUAAAAACAGAUAAUUAGCAU
rnacentral:snRNA from 1 species